rnacentral:tRNA from 1 species
CUAGGUUAAGUCUUGAUGGUAAGAUGCGGGUCUUGGACACCUGAGAUUGAAGGUUCGACUCCUUCAACCUAGACCA